ACUAGAUGCAGGAAUGCCACCCACCUCCCUCUCAGCUGAGCUAAAUCUUAAUUAUCCUUUAAGGCCCAUCUCAAAUCCUUCCUUCUCUGAGAAGGCUGCCUUGACAAUUCCAGUCUAUAGUCCUUCCUUCUUUAUUUGAGCUCAUCCCUUCCAAAUUGUAUUACUAUAUUUUUUAAUGUUUCUCUUUUUCAUACUAAAAAUUUAAUUAUCAGGAUCCAUGCAGACAUUUUAGCACAUGGCCAUUUAAAACAUACAUUCACCCUUUUAACUCUCCUUACCCUUUUAUUUCUGGAAUGCUGGUAAAAAGACAUAGCAUGAAAAUUAGUCUACUCUGGAGGCUUGAAAAGAUUGAAGAAAAGUCUGCCCAGGACUAAGUCUUUCUCUUGUCUUUUGUGGAAUAUUGGAAGGCUCUUAAGGCAAGAUCCUUUCUCUCGGCAGGCUAGUCACUUCU
rnacentral:lncRNA from 1 species